rnacentral:rRNA from 1 species
AACGAACGCUGGCGGCAGGCCUAACACAUGCAAGUCGAGCGAGAUCUUCGGGUCUAGCGGCGGACGGGUGAGUAACGCGUGGGAAUAUGCCUCUUGGUACGGAAUAGCCUCGGGAAACUGGGAGUAAUACCGUAUGUGCCCUUUGGGGGAAAGAUUUAUCGCCAAGAGAUUAGCCCGCGUUGGAUUAGGUAGUUGGUGGGGUAAUGGCCUACCAAGCCGACGAUCCAUAGCUGGUUUGAGAGGAUGAUCAGCCACACUGGGACUGAGACACGGCCCAGACUCCUACGGGAGGCAGCAGUGGGGAAUCUUAGACAAUGGGGGCAACCCUGAUCUAGCCAUGCCGCGUAAGUGAUGAAGGCCUUAGGGUUGUAAAGCUCUUUCAGCUGGGAAGAUAAUGACGGUACCAGCAGAAGAAGCCCCGGCUAACUCCGUG